rnacentral:rRNA from 1 species
AUUGAACGCUGGCGGCAUGCCUUACACAUGCAAGUCGAACGGUAACAGGUCUUCGGAUGCUGACGAGUGGCGAACGGGUGAGUAAUACAUCGGAACGUGCCUAGUAGUGGGGGAUAACUACUCGAAAGAGUGGCUAAUACCGCAUGAGAUCUACGGAUGAAAGCAGGGGAUCGCAAGACCUUGUGCUACUAGAGCGGCCGAUGGCAGAUUAGGUAGUUGGUGGGAUAAAAGCUUACCAAGCCGACGAUCUGUAGCUGGUCUGAGAGGACGAUCAGCCACACUGGGACUGAGACACGGCCCAGACUCCUACGGGAGGCAGCAGUAGGGAAUAUUGGACAAUGGGGGCAACCCUGAUCCAGCCAUUCCGCGUGCAGGAAUAAGGCCCUAUGGGUCGUAAACUGCUUUUGUAUGGGAAAAAAUCAUCUUACGUGUAGGAUGUUGAUGGUACCAUGAGAAUAAGGAUCGGCUAACUUCGUGCCAGCAGCCGCCGUAAAAC